GAUGAAGAACGUAGUGAAAUGCGAUAAGUAGUGUGAAUUGCAGAAUUCAGUGAAUCAUCGAAUCUUUGAACCCACAUUGCGCCCUUUGGUAUUCCUUAGGGCAUGCCUGUUCGAGCGUCAUUUAAACCUUCAAGCUCAGCUUGGUGUUGGGUGACUGUCCGCCGCCUCCGGGCGCGUGGACUCGCCUCAAAAUUAUUGGCGGCCGGUACAUUGGCUUCGAGCGCAGCAGAAACGCGAACUCGGGCCCGUCGUAUUGGCUCCCAGAAGCUAUCUUCACAAUUUUGACCUCGGAUCAGGUAGGGAUACCCGCUGAACUUAAGCAUAUCAAUAAGCGGAGGA
rnacentral:misc_RNA from 1 species